rnacentral:rRNA from 1 species
GACGAACGCUGGCGGCGUGCUUAACACAUGCAAGUCGAACGGAAAGGCCCUGCUUUUGUGCGGUGCUCGAGUGGCGAACGGGUGAGUAACACGUGAGUAACCUGCACUUGACUUUGGGAUAACUUCAGGAAACUUGGGCUCAUACCGGAUAGGAGCUCUUGCUGCAUGGUGGGGGUUGGAAAGUUUCGGCGGUUGGGGAUGGACUAGCGGCUUAUCCGCUUGUUGGUUGGGUAGUGGCUUACCAAGGCUUUGACGGGUAGCCGGCCUGGGAGGGGGACCGGCGACAUUGGGACUGAGAUACGGCCCAGACGCGUACGGUAGGCAGCGGUGGGGAGUAUUACAGAAGAGGCGGGAGCCUGAUGCAGCAACGCCGCGUGCGGGAAGACGGGCUUCGGGUGGUGAACCGCUUUCGCCUUAGACGAAGCGUGAGUGACGGUAAUGGGUAAAGAAGCACCGGCUAACUACGUG